CCUGGUUCAACUAUGGAAGAUGAUGAAGCUGUUUGUUCUGUUUUGACGCUAACUUUGGGUGACCAAAUCAUAAACUUGAAAAAACGGGGCACAUCCAAAAAGUGUUUGGAGAUGAUACUCUUACUCUUCACGGGCUCCAUCGAGACGUAAUCAUUGAAACAUGCUCUUUUCAGGAUGAGGACGCCGAAGUAGGUGAGAAUUCUGGGAAAUCUGCAACACUGUAAACAUUUACCAGCGUCACAGUUCACAUAUUUGUCUUUACGAUUGGUUUUAGAACCAUAUUUCCGAAUGGCGGCAGUUUCUUGGAAAUGGAACUAUGCAUUUUAUUUUUCUAGAUUUUUAUAUUUUUGUAGUUUUUAUCGGAAAUAGCUUAGAAUAAUACUGUUAAAAAUAUGGGUUAUUUUUCUUAAUAAUAGGAAAUACAAAAAUG
rnacentral:lncRNA from 1 species